UGUGUGUUAGUGGAAGCGUCUGGAAAGGCGCGCGAUACAGGGUGACAGCCCCGUACACAAAAAUGCACAUGCUGUGAGCUCGAUGAGUAGGGCGGGACACGUGGUAUCCUGUCUGAAUAUGGGGGGACCAUCCUCCAAGGCUAAAUACUCCUGACUGACCGAUAGUGAACCAGUACCGUGAGGGAAAGGCGAAAAGAACCCCGGCGAGGGGAGUGAAAAAGAACCUGAAACCGUGUACGUACAAGCAGUGGGAGCACGCUUCGGCGUGUGACUGCGUACCUUUUGUAUAAUGGGUCAGCGACUUAUAUUCUGUAGCAAGGUUAACCGAAUAGGGGAGCCGAAGGGAAACCGAGUCUUAACUGGGCGUUAAGUUGCAGGGUAUAGACCCGAAACCCGGUGAUCUAGCCAUGGGCAGGUUGAAGGUUGGGUAACACUAACUGGAGGACCGAACCGACUAAUGUUGAAAAAUUAGCGGAUGACUUGUGGCUGGGGGUGAAAGGCCAAUCAAACCGGGAGAUAGCUGGUUCUCCCCGAAAGCUAUUUAGGUAGCGCCUCGUGAAUUCAUCUCCGGGGGUAGAGCACUGUUUCGGCAAGGGGGUCAUCCCGACUUACCAACCCGAUGCAAACUGCGAAUACCGGAGAAUGUUAUCACGGGAGACACACGGCGGGUGCUAACGUCCGUCGUGAAGAGGGAAACAACCCAGACCGCCAGCUAAGGUCCCAAAGUCAUGGUUAAGUGGGAAACGAUGUGGGAAGGCCCAGACAGCCAGGAUGUUGGCUUAGAAGCAGCCAUCAUUUAAAGAAAGCGUAAUAGCUCACUGGUCGAGUCGGCCUGCGCGGAAGAUGUAACGGGGCUAAACCAUGCACCGAAGCUGCGGCAGCGACGCUGAUGCGUUGUUGGGUAGGGGAGCGUUCUGUAAGCCUGUGAAGGUGUGCUGUGAGGCAUGCUGGAGGUAUCAGAAGUGCGAAUGCUGACAUAAGUAACGAUAAAGCGGGUGAAAAGCCCGCUCGCCGGAAGACCAAGGGUUCCUGUCCAACGUUAAUCGGGGCAGGGUGAGUCGACCCCUAAGGCGAGGCCGAAAGGCGUAGUCGAUGGGAAACAGGUUAAUAUUCCUGUACUUGGUGUUACUGCGAAGGGGGGACGGAGAAGGCUAUGUUGGCCGGGCGACGGUUGUCCCGGUUUAAGCGUGUAGGCUGGUUUUCCAGGCAAAUCCGGAAAAUC
rnacentral:rRNA from 1 species